rnacentral:rRNA from 1 species
CCUACGGGAGGCAGCAGUGAGGAAUAUUGGACAAUGGGCGCAAGCCUGAUCCAGCCAUGCCGCGUGCAGGAAGAAGCAUCUAUGGUGUGUAAACUGCUUUUGUACAGGAAGAAACACUCCCUCGUGAGGGAGCUUGACGGUACUGUAAGAAUAAGGACCGGCUAACUCCGUGCCAGCAGCCGCGGUAAUACGGAGGGUCCGAGCGUUAUCCGGAAUCAUUGGGUUUAAAGGGUCCGUAGGCGGUUUAAUAAGUCAGUGGUGAAAUCUGGUCGCUCAACGAUCAAACGGCCAUUGAUACUGUUAGACUUGAAUUAUAAGGAAGUAACUAGAAUAUGUAGUGUAGCGGUGAAAUGCUUAGAUAUUACAUGGAAUACCAAUUGCGAAGGCAGGUUACUACUUAUGGAUUGACGCUGAUGGACGAAAGCGUAGGGGAGCGAACAGGAUUAGAUACCCUGGUAGUCCACGCCGUAAACGAUAGGAUACUAGCUGUUCGGAGCAAUNUGAGUGAGUAGAGAAGUAGAGUAAGUACGUACCGACCGUACGGGUAGGUAACGGUUACGUACGAAGAAGUAAGUUAAACGUUAACGAAAGGUUAAGUUAGGACGGCGAGAGACGACGACGACGACGACGACGAGGGAGGAGG